GAUAUAGGCAACCAGCAGCGAGGAGAGGGGGGGAGGAGUGGAUGCCGAAGUAAUGGGUGAUAGAAAUUAAGGAGUUUUCUGCAUAUAUUCGCUAAUGUGACAUGUCACAUCAGCAUCAUAAGUUUGUGCGGGCGUUUUGAACUUAAGAUGGACUAUUUAGAGAGUUCGCGUAUCUAAAUAUACAUUCUAGAUCAUAUGGAGAUAACUCAAUAAAUUCAAAGACCCGUGGUGUAUUUUAAUCAGAAUAUUUUAUUCCUGUUUUG
rnacentral:lncRNA from 1 species